CGGGGUGAGUAACGCGUGAGCAAUCUGCCUUCGGAUGGGGGAUAACAGCCGGAAACGGCUGCUAAUACCGCAUAACACAAGGGAUUCGCAUGUUUCCCUUGUCAAAGAUUUAUCGUCCGAAGAUGAGCUCGCGUCUGAUUAGCUAGUUGGCGGGGUAACGGCCCACCAAGGCGACGAUCAGUAGCCGGACUGAGAGGUUGAACGGCCACAUUGGGACUGAGACACGGCCCAGACUCCUACGGAAGGCAGCAG
rnacentral:rRNA from 1 species